rfam:Picea glauca, whole genome shotgun sequence.
GGGUGUAUAACUCGGUUGGUAGGGCAUUGGGAUUUUAAUCCAAUGAUCACAGGUUCAAGUCCUGCUAUACCUA